rnacentral:lncRNA from 1 species
AAUGGUUAUAAUAAAAUGAAAAUUUUUAUUGAUGGAAAAUACAAAUUAAAUUAGAAAAGAUUAGUUGAUUAUACAUCGUGAUGGAAAUGAAAUUUAACGUUUUCGUAUAUGUUGUCAUUGACCGCCACUAGAGCCUAUAAUGUAUCCAAUUUCUUCAUCAAUAACUCUCAACAACAUUAUCUCCCUUACCCUUGUUUUUCUUGUUAUCCAGUAGUUUUCGACCACCCACAACCAGAUAACAUUCAACAUCUUUGGUGCAAAGAUGGCUACGGCCUGCAGCUGGUGUUUUGCCCAAGAGGAUGCCACUUGGGUCUUCUAUAUCUGCAUUUGCUGCUUCAACAAAGAGAGAGCAAAUGAGAAAUGCAGCGAUGCAUAAACCCAAAACCCUCUUCAUGGCCAUGACAACAAGUAAUAAGCGC